rnacentral:tRNA from 1 species
GGGCGGUUAGCUCAGUUGGUAGAGCAGCGGACUUUUAAUCCGUUGGUCCGGAGUUCGAGCCUCCGACCGCCUACCA